rnacentral:rRNA from 1 species
UACAGGGGGGGCAAGCGUUGUUCGGAAUUACUGGGCGUAAAGGGCUCGUAGGCGGCCAACUAAGUCAGACGUGAAAUCCCUCGGCUUAACCGGGGAACUGCGUCUGAUACUGGAUGGCUUGAGUGUGGGAGAGGGAUGCGGAAUUCCAGGUGUAGCGGUGAAAUGCGUAGAUAUCUGGAGGAACACCGGUGGCGAAGGCGGCAUCCUGGACCAUUACUGACGCUGAUGAGCGAAAGCGUGGGGAGCAAACAGG